ACCUCAGCAGGAUAGAGGGUCCGCCUCCUAAGCGGAACGCCCCCGGUUCGAAUCCGGGC
rnacentral:tRNA from 1 species